AGUUGACUCCAACGAGGAAGUCUCCAUUGAUGAUAUUUGUCUUCCGAUCUAGAGACGAAGAAGUUCUCUGACUUCUCUUCUUCUUGCUCCGAGGUUGUCUCCCUGUUCCAGUUCGAUUCGUCCAUGGAGAUUUAGGUCAAGCAUGACAGUUGCGCCAUGGUUGCACUCGAGAUGAAGACCGAGUUUUCCAAGGAUGCCUGCACCAUCAGCGAGUGGGUGCUGAAGAGGGCAGAGGAGGCUCUCAAGGGCAAAUAAGUCUAGAAGAGGGGCGAUGAUAAGAUAUACAAAGGGAUCCACAGAAACUGGACGAACUGGAGGUGACGUGCCAUAGUUAUUCUCAGAGGAUACAUUGUACAAAUGCACUUAUGUCAACUUCUAGUAUUACAUAGUUACGAUGGAUUAAGCUGCACAAUUAUCAGGUAAUCUAAAAUAAAAUGAUGGUUUUGAAUGUGGAUAUUGUGUAAUGCGGUAUAUGAAAGAUAUAGUCUUAGAUGAAGAUCCACAAUGGGAGAGGAAGUUUGCAGGAUCAAGAAACAAACAAUAUUACAAUCAAUUUCAGUAUGAUGAAGUCAGAAGUAAAUGAAGCGAAUUCGUCUGGUUCUAUGUGGGUGUCUAAGUGUAAGCUAUGAUAUAAAUUUUGGAUUGUAACUAGGGAUUUAUGGAUACAAAAGCUUUUGAGCGAAGUUAGUCAAAGUUGUCUUUUGUGAAUAUACUUUUGGAUUAUAUUUAGAGAUUUGUUGAUAUAAAAGGUUUUGGGUGAA